UCACGAAAGUGGAUUGUACUAGAAGUCUGCAGGCUGACCCGCAAGGGAGGCAGCGGCCCAAGGUAUGAUCCAUGAUUGGGGUG
rnacentral:rRNA from 1 species